UGCCCCACAUAAGGCCUGUCUACGGUGAGGUUGGCGAGAGUAAACGCGGCGUUCUAUACAGAGUGGACUGGCAGGGGCUGAGCCGGCACCAGAACACAGGGCAUCUUUCUCUUUAAGCCACUCCAUCCUGAGAGUGACAGGUGAACUGCAGGUCAGAAGGAAGGAGGAGGGAGAGUGAGACAGAAAGAAGCAGGACUGCAGCCUCAGAGGGAGAGGCAGAGGAGGAACCUGAGACAGAACAUGUCCAAAGUUACACAUGCGGUACACAAUAGAGCGGGAAUCUGAACCAGGUAGUCUGCUUCUGAGUCUGCAUUAUCUCAGUUAUGGUGGCACAGAACUUAAACUGACAGGAUUCAGAAAGACCUUCAAGGCCUCAGUGUCUCAAGGUCACUGUUAAGACAUCUGCGAGCAGUGAAAACAGCUUCAUGGAAGUUAAAGGGAAGAAUUAAGGAAAAAAGGAGAAAAAGCUGCCGGAGACUUUCCUGUGACUCGCUGCUAAUAAAGUUGAUUAGACUGA